rnacentral:lncRNA from 1 species
UUCAGAAAGCUAAUUUUCUAGCUCUGUAAGUUCAGCACGACUCACACAAUAGGUGGGUUUCAAGAUUGGUUGGGUUCUGGGUAGCAAUUCAAUUAGGAACUUCGCUUCUCGAUAGGGAGGCAAACCAUGAAGUUCAACGGGAAAGACAUCCAGAAAGUUACAAACAAUUGAUAUAGAACACACAACAGGAUCAACACCCGUAUUCCUAUUUAUUCAAU